rnacentral:rRNA from 1 species
UACGAAGGGGGGCUAGCGUUGUUCGGAAUUACUGGGCGUAAAGCGCACGUAGGCGGAUUGGUCAGUUAGGGGUGAAAUCCCAGGGCUCAACCCUGGAACUGCCUUUAAUACUGCCAAUCUAGAGUUCGAGAGAGGUGAGUGGAAUUCCGAGUGUAGAGGUGAAAUUCGUAGAUAUUCGGAGGAACACCAGUGGCGAAGGGCGGCUCACUGGCUCGACACUGACGCUGAGGUGCGAAAGCGUGGGGAGCAAACAGG